rnacentral:rRNA from 1 species
ACGGGAGGCAGCAGUGGGGGAUAUUGCGCAAUGGGGGAAACCCUGACGCAGCAACGCCGCGUGCAGGAUGACGGCCUUCGGGUUGUAAACUGUUGCCGCAAGGGAAGAAACAAAUGACGGUACCUUGUGAGAAAGCCACGGCUAACUACGUGCCAGCAGCCGCGGUAAUACGUAGGUGGCAAGCGUUGUCCGGAUCUACUGGGUGUAAAGGGCGCGUAGGCGGGAUAGCAAGUCAGUCGUGAAAUACCGGGGCUCAACUCCGGAGCUGCGAUUGAAACUGUUAUUCUUGAGUAUCGGAGAGGAAAGCGGAAUUCCUAGUGUAGCGGUGAAAUGCGUAGAUAUUAGGAGGAACACCAGUGGCGAAGGCGGCUUUCUGGACGACAACUGACGCUGAGGCGCGAAAGUGUGGGGAGCAAACAGGAUUAGAUACCCUGGUA